UAACCUCACUUUCCUUUGGUGACUUAGAUUAUUAAGACUUGAAUACACACAGAACGCCUAGGACUCGAAUAUGGGUUCCAACCGUUGCCAAAACAAUGAGUCAACUGUUUUGGUUUUAUACAUAUACAAAUGUUGUGUCGAUACACAGUACACGAAACAAUUACACACAUAAAGUAAGACUUUGAGAGUUGUGGUAACACACAUUUAGGACCUUUGGAAAACUUAUGACGAAAUUCAUUAAAGGUCCUCACGUAGGAACGGUGAUUAUUAACUCACGCAAAUGCCCUUAUAUUAUAUCGUCUAUGCUAUCUUAAUUACCCAAGUAGGUAAUCUACGUGGAAUGACACGCUAUUGCACAACUAUACGUGAAACUUAAACUAUACGUCAGCAGACGUCGAAGUACAUCACACACGACUUUCAAGGCAAGGCCUUUGGAAAACAUGAUUGGGCAUGACAACAACGAUGCUAAUCCCGUCAGCGGCAGAACUACGGAUCGAAAUGCGGCAAAUUGCCAAGUGACCCUGCAAUUGACACGAAUCACGCUGAGGUACGUUUAACUGGGAUUUCACAACAAUCUAUACUUACUCUAAGGAGACUCACAAUUGUUGGCGCUGCAAAGGAAGUUACACGUCUUCGCAUUCCCCCUACUUUAUUAAUGGCGACUGCACUAUGUUCGACAUUCCAUGGAAAUGUCAACUAACAAACGACUAUCACACGAAGUCCAGGUAAAGUCCUUAAAUUUCUUUUGUUGAAAUUUCAACUUCUUGCAUAUAGUGAGUAGAUUUUUGCAUUUCUACUCCCCCUAAUAGCCAUUGCAUCACGAAAAUUUUAUUUCAUGAUAACGAACACUUAAUUGCUUCAUUCUUGACAAAUUCAUAUGUUACACAUGCGUUGUUCGUUACGCAUGUGGCUUCGCUCGAAAUUGUUGCUUUAUCAACGUUCAAUAAUGUUUCGCUAUGUCGAAUUUUACAUUGUGAUUUGGAUGACCGUAUUAUUGCAAAACGUUGACUCUUUGAUAUCGGGUCAACGAACUCGUUAAAACUCAUUUCCUUUCAAGCUACAUACAUGUUUUUUUUUUUUUUUUUUUUUGUAACCAUGUCAAAAUUUUCUUGUUGAUACAUGCUUCCAUUGUUGGAUGGUGCUUAAACCAAGUUCAAUUGUUUGAACUUGCUCGUAAUAUAUAUUCGAUUCAAGAUUCCAUAUGAUGGAUUGAGGCCAUCAUAUUCGAAAUAAUCCCAACAAGCACCUCAUUUGCUUUGAACCAUAACAGGCUUCUUGGUCUUCGACUUCAUUGAAUCGUUUCUUUGAUCACGAUCACCUUGUGGUGGCGUAUUUCACAAGUUUGAAGCUUGCGCUAAUCUCGUUGCUCACAUCAUGUACGGAUUUAAUUAUUUAUUUAUUUGUUUAAUUAUAUUAAAUCCGCCUUGUUGAUUUAUCGUAUGAAAUCAGUCUUAAUACAAUUGUGUGUUAAGACAAUGGUACACAAGUUCAUGUCAUAUUUCGGUGUGCCUCUUAACGGUUCUUUCAGCAUCGAUCAAACAUUUUGUGAUAUUUAUUGCUCUUUCAUUUUCGAUCGAAAAACGUUAUUUAUUUGUUUCAUUUUCAAUCGAAAAUCCUAUGAGAUUUGUUUGAAACAAACAUUCAGAUAUAUUCGUUGAACCUUCAUUUGAUUUCAAACACGGUGAUAUUUGUUUGGUCACUGCUAUUAUUGAAUUAUUUCAAUCACUACGACACCUUGUGGUGUCAGUAUAAAUUUGUAGCUUGGGCUAAUCAUGAUCGAGCGUUUCAUGUAAAACACAGGUGAUACUUGUUCGAUCACCGAUAUUAUUGAAUUAUUUCAUUCGCUACGACACCUUGAGGUGUCGGUAUAAACUCGUAGCUUGUGCUAAUCACGAUCAUUUGUUUCAUGCAAAACAACAUAUACUUUUUCGUUUGACGCAUCGUUUAAAUAGUCUUAAUGCAAUUAUGUAUUAAGACGAUGAUACACCAGGUUCGGUUGUAUUUCGUUUCGGUGUAUCCUUGCAACUCAACAAUGUCAACACCUUGAUUUUAUCUUAUUCAUUUAUUGGUUCGAUAGUUGACAAUCAUUUUUUAUGAUUCUACUUAUUUGAGUUUGUUGAAUUCGAGCUUCACUUAUACAACAACCAACGCUAGAUUCCAUUGGUAGUAAAUUCUAUUGUUUCAAAAAUUGAUUUGCAGUUAGUGAACGUUCAUUUGGAAUUCCACUGGUUGAAUUUCCUCUUUUGUUGAACCCCGUAAACUUGGUCGCAUUGGUGAUAUUAUCACUACGCUUGUCCUCACAUUUACGUAAUCUGAAUAAGUCUUGCUUUGAUUACGCGGUUAUUCACUUUGGCAUUGUUCGGACUUACCUGCGAACGGCACAACUCUGAGAAGAUAACAUAGUCUAAAUUUCGAGGACGAAAUUUCUGCAACAGGGGGAGAAUGUGACAACCUGUAAUUAACGGCCUUCUAAUUUCGCGAUUAACAAACGUUUAGGUGAUAACAAAUAAUGUUUAAGACACGAAUUAGCUUAAUUAGGCUAUUGGAAUGCCUAGGAACGCUAAUCAGAUGUUACAAUGCGCAUAUGAGGAUUUUCGGGAAAACUGAGUAACGUUAAACGAUAACGAACUGAUGUCGUACAAAAGACUGGCCAUGCAGACAAAUACAAAUUUUAUACGUAUAAUUUAAACUUAUGAAUGUGGUUUUGUGAAAACAUCACGCUUUCGAAUGUUACAAAACGCAAACGUGAACGAAAAACGCGACCGAAGGAACGCACCGGCAACGAAACAAAAGCACCGGACUCGAGUUACGACCCAAUAUUAAUAUAUUAUGAUAUAUUUAACUUCAUUUUCAAAAUUUAUUAUCCGUAUUUGAAAACGGAUCGCAAAACGGACACCAAACGACGAACGACACAGUUUAUGCGUUUUUAACGCAACCGACAAAAAUACGCGUCAAACAUCGCCUCCCGAUGCUCUUUUACAUAUUUUUGAUCUUAAAAAGGGUAGUAUUAGGUAUUUUCAUUGCGCAAGUUGUAAAUUAUAUUUACAAUAUGCGGUUAGCGCGGCACGAAUAAUAGGUAAAUAUAUUUUAUACAUCGGACACGUUCAUAAAUAAUUUUAUGAGAUUAUAUGCACAAGUUUAUUUUCUUUUAUGCAUUAAUAUUCCAUGAUCUUUCGUAUUCUUUAUUUUUUUAUACGCACCCUCGUAUUUUCAAAGAUUUCUAGAUCACGAUCACGCACAUAUGGUUAUUUAAACGUAUAAAAUAUACAUACUUUGACAUGUAUAUAUAUCAAAAUCAUAUGUUUAUUUUUUUAUAUAGAACUUCACAAAAAAAAAAAAAAAGAGUUCCACGCCAAAUUUGUAUAUCCUCGAAAACGCUUGUUUUUGUCGAAACCGAAAUCGAACUGACGUUAAACAUGCGUUCGUACAUGAAACCAUCCAAAAACAUUUUUCUAGCUGAAUUCUAAUUUUGCCAAGUUGGUUAGAGCAUAUUACUUCUUCUUCUUUUUUUUUUUUUUUGAGAUAAACCUUUUUAUGAUUUUCCUUGAUGGCUGAGUGACAUACUUGCCAAAGUUGGACUUUUAUAUCCAAAGCAUGGUAAUAUCAAUACUCAUGACAUCCUAUACCAUAUUUUCUUUAUCUCAUGACCAUCCGAUCACAUCAUCAUCAUUACAUAUAUUCAUGCCAUACACAUUAAUUUUUAUUAUACAUUCCUUGAUAUAUUUGGUGGAUUUUGUCAAACCAACUCCUCCUGGACCCAUACCCAUCGACCAUACCCUAUUAAUUGUGCUUCAUCCUUAUCAUUUAAACACAAGACCAUUUCAUUCUAUUUUCCACUCUCCAAAACCAAAAACAAGAGCACACACACAAGCCACAAAUUGAAUUUCAAGAUUCAAGGUCAAGCUUCAAACCGUUCAUGCCUUGUUUGUUUUCGGCACGAGUAGAUCAUUUCAUGUAGACACGGACUUUGCUAUUUGCUAUUUGCUUUGCCACAUUUGUUUGCACAUCAGGUUGCAUUUUCAAAACUAUGGAACGGUUGGAAUAGGAGAACCCAUGGGAAUUCGAGUACUUAGCAGGCGUUCAUUGUUUAGAAGUCUUAGCUUAUUGCUUCCGCUGUGCAAUGAAGAUACUGGUCAAGUCACGCCAGCUCUGAUUUUUCGGGGUGUGACAUGUUCCCCAAGGACAAGACCAAGCCUAGCAAAUCUAAACCUAACGCAACUAGUGAAUUUCGGGACGAAAUUCCCUUUCAAGUUGGGGAUGAUGUGGCACCCGCAGAAAAUCGACAGUCAUCAUCUUAAUUCAUUACUUCACUCCCCUACGAUUACUUGGCAAAUUU